rnacentral:rRNA from 1 species
GACGAACCGUGCGAACGUUGUUCGGAAUCACUGGGCAUAAAGGGCGCGUAGGCGGCUUAUCAAGUCAGGGGUGAAAUCGGGCAGCUCAACUGUCGAAGUGCCUUUGAUACUGAUGAGCUCGAGGGAGGUAGGGGUCUGUGGAACUUCCGGUGGAGCGGUGAAAUGCGUUGAUAUCGGAAGGAACGCCGGUGGCGAAAGCGACGGACUGGACCUCUUCUGACGCUGAGGCGCGAAAGCUAGGGGAGCAAACGGG